rnacentral:rRNA from 1 species
GACGAACGCUGGCGGCGUGCUUAACACAUGCAAGUCGAACGGAAAGGCCCUGCUUUUGUGGGGUGCUCGAGUGGCGAACGGGUGAGUAACACGUGAGUAACCUGCCCUUGACUUUGGGAUAACUUCAGGAAACUGGGGCUAAUACCGGAUAGGAGCUCCUGCUGCAUGGUGGGGGUUGGAAAGUUUCGGCGGUUGGGGAUGGACUCGCGGCUUAUCAGCUUGUUGGUGGGGUAGUGGCUUACCAAGGCUUUGACGGGUAGCCGGCCUGAGAGGGUGACCGGCCACAUUGGGACUGAGAUACGGCCCAGACUCCUACGGGAGGCAGCGGUGGGGAAUAUUGCACAAUGGGCGGAAGCCUGAUGCAGCAACGCCGCGUGCGGGGUGACGGCCUUCGGGUUGUAAACCGCAUUCGCCUGUGACGAAGCGUGAGUGACGGUAAUGGGUAAAGAAGCACCGGCUAACUACGUG